AGAGCUUUGGGAGAUGCUGCAGUCUGCAUAGCAAUUGGAAAGAAUGAGCUGAAAGUAUUUGGAAGUACAAAAAGCUGAAAUGUCCUGCGUGUGCUGGGACUGCCCUCUCCCCUAGCAGCAGAGAAAAAACUUGUCUGUUAAGGACAGCGAAAGGUGCUCGUACAGCAGAAUGAACAACACUGAUGUUAGAGCAUGUGGAAUUAAGCUGAAGGGUUCCUCAGCAGGCUGAAUAGCUUCUGACUCAUUUGCAUCCACUCAAGCUUUGCAAAGCUAACCAGAAGUAUCCACAGAUAUUUUGCAAAUAAAACCUGUGGACUCAAGCCAAGGAGACCAAAGACACUCUGCAAACUCCCUGCCAGAUUUUGGGUAAUGAGGAAUGUUCAUGGAAAGCAAAAACACUGCUCUCAGUCAAGGGAUGUUUAAUCUAUUCUGGAGGAUUUUUGAGUCGUAAUUUGAAGAUGAGAGGAAGGCUGCAUUAGCAGUGGAACAACAGAACAAAACUCUCACAACAAAGAGCUGCAAAAAGGCCAGUUACUCUGAGCAUCAAGGGUGGUGAGGAAGGGAGUGUGCUCACUAGUCUUGCAACCCACCAGCUCAACAGCACCUGGGCAAGGAAGUGCCUAUCCAUUCCCCUCUAGAAAAAAAAAUGAGUACUGGGAGGGCUGCUGAUCAGCAGUGCUCUCCCAGGAAUACCCUCCCACAUCUGCAUUGCCUGGAGAAUAGGGCUGAUAUGUAGUUCCAAGUCCUCUCUUAGAAGCUGUCCAAGCUAGUGUUCCUCAGUGGCUAGUAGAGGGUGAGGCAUAGUGUUGGUAUUUUCCAUAUAUUCCAUAUAUUUUUCUUGUCCAGCAUCACUUUUUUCUUAAUGGCUAACUUUCUGCAUUUUUUCACCUGUUCAUCAUGUUCUGGGUCUGCUCUUUUCCACCUAGACCUGCAUCCCUCUGGCUAUUUCUCCUCUGUCUCUUUCUUUUAAUUGGGCUGACCAAAGCCCUGUCAAAAUCUUGUUAGAUUGCAAAAGAGGAAUUGUCCUGCCACAGAAAUGCUACAUGAUAGGUAAAUUCCUGCCUCUCUCCAAGACCAUUUGCUCUUCUGUUGGCCCUGGUGUUGUCAGUGUUGUAUCCUGAGGGUAUGGGCUGUACUCAGCUUACUUCUAAGGGGCAUUUUACAGGGCCCAAAUACUGCAUCAGGUGGGAGUCAGUCUAGAGACCUCCAGCAGCCUCUCCCCACUUUCAGGGCUGCAACCUGAUGCUGCAGCAGUCUAAUCCAUCACAAGUAAGGAACAGGCUUUUUCUGCCUUUUGACAGGAACAGUCAGAUGAUCUGCUCCUGAUAACUACGGUAGGUCUGGAGCUAUACAUUACCAAUGAGAUGCUGUGAUGACUCUAUUUGCUCUUAUGGAGAGCUUUGCCAGGUCUGGCAAUGCUAAAGGAAGCAGGGGAAUGAACGUAUCUGCACUUGCUGAGGCUGUUUUGAAUUAACUUUCUAUUUCUUUUUAUUUCCCUGAGGCAAGGUCACAUGAAGGUAUUGGAAAAUUUCAAGGAAAGGAAACUCAACACCUCAAAAUUUGUAUAAAAUAGAGUUUUAUAUAUAUAAAACCCUGGGAUAUUUGGCAGUCUGGCUAAUCUCUAAGCAAUAACUAAGGUUUUAAAUGCUUUCUCAGAAAACCUAAAGGCUUUAAUUCUGGCAAAACGAUGUCAACACAC